GAUGCGACCUCAGCUCAGGCGGGGCCACCCGCUGAGUUUAAGCAUAUCAAUAAGCGGAGGA
rnacentral:rRNA from 1 species